UCCGACUUAAAGGUCGGCAGUCUUGUUAGAGUGCCCAACUGAGUGCUGGCAACACGCCACAGGGGUUGCGCUCGUUACGGGACUUAACCCAACAUCUCACGACACGAGCUGACGACAGCCGUGCAGCAUCUGUGUGGCACCCUCGAAGGUCACACGUUUCCGUGCGCUUGCAGCCACAUGUCAAGCCCAGGUAAGGUUCUUCGCGUUGCAUCGAAUUAAAGAACAUGCCCCGCUGCUUGUGCGGGCCCCCGUCAAUUCCUUUGAGUUUCAGCCUUGCGGCCGUACUCCCCAGGCGGGGCACUUAAUGCGUUAGCGCCGGCACCCAGGGGGUCGCUCCCCCAGGCACCUAGUGCCCAUCGUUUACGGCGUGGACUAC
rnacentral:misc_RNA from 1 species